GGGGAUCGGCUCGGCGCAGAGCGGAGUGAGGAGGAGGAGCGACCGCGGCCAUUUUGUGACUACAGGACUGAAGGCAGAGUGAAGAAGAAGAAGAAGAAGAAGAAGAAGAGAUGAGUUCCCAGAAGAAGCUCGUGUGUCAGAAUCAGUGUUGUAACUUCCUGUGCCGUGGCGGCCAUGUUGGAUCUGACAGUUUCACAGAAAUGUCUUGGAGGAUAAAAUGAAGUGAUGACGCUUCGUGUCCAGAGGUCAAAGGUCACAGCGGCCACACGUCCAGGAAGCUUCUGUGUUCUACAUCUCGUCUGUCGUCGGGUUCUUAUGAAUGGUCACCGGUACACUGGAUCAGAACCUGCAGGGUGGACAGUAAAGUUAGAGUAAACUUAGAGAGUAAAGAGUCUGUUUGUGUAAAAAUAAAACAGUUUGUUUGUGAGGUUGAAGAAGUCGUUUCAGUCAAGCUCAGCUGUGACUGGGGGGUCCGUCAGAGACAGAACCAGAUAUGGUGUACUGUUGGGUUCACAGCUUACUGACCGACCAGAACCGCUGCCCCUCUCUGUUGUUGUUGUCAGUUUGAUAUGUUCACAUUUCACCAGAUAUCCAACAGCACUUUCUCUCUGAAGUAACAAAGAACUCUCAGUUAUACCAGGUGAAUCUUUCACUUGUAGACAGGAAACAUCGUGACUCGUAUCUCUGGAACAACUACAGAAGUUCUGGUACCGUUUCUUUCUCUUCAUUAGCUGGACUGGGUAACAGCCGACACCAAGAACCCGUCUGAUACUGGUGUGUUUUUACUGUUAACAACUUCUUUCACUUCACGUUUAGGAAUAAAUCAUUCCCUCAAAACUUAAA